UGAUCCAAUUUAUAGGAUAAGUGGCUGGCUACAUUUUGUUUUCUAGUUUGGUUUUGUAAAUGUUAUCAUUGUGUAAUAUGCUAUAAACAGGUCGGCAUAACAUUGUGUGGGAGCCACCAUCCGUAAAGUUUCAUACCAUUUAUGGUGCUGCUCGAGUAGUCUGCGCUGAGUUAAUUAAUCCUUAUAGAUGAUCAUGGGAGCGACAAGCUCACAAUGGAAGAUAAAACAAGAAAGAGAAAAGAUGUCAAGCUGUUUAUCGUGACAAUGUUUGUGUACUAUUAACCAGUAUUUAUCAUGUUGACUUUGACUUAUUACCUACUUAAUCACUUCCUUGUGGUCUUCUAAGCACAAUUUGUUUUUGUAAUACUCUCA